UACAGAGGGGGCAAGCGUUAUUCGGAAUUAUUGGGCGUAAAGGGCGCGUAGGCGGCUUGGCAAGUGGAUGGUGAAAUCCCUCGGCUUAACCGAGGAACUGCCGUCCAAACUGCUUUGCUUGAGACCGGGAGAGGUGAGUGGAAUUCCCAGUGUAGCGGUGAAAUGCGUAGAUAUUGGGAGGAACACCAGUGGCGAAGGCGGCUCACUGGACCGGUACUGACGCUGAUGCGCGAAAGCGUGGGGAGCGAACAGG
rnacentral:rRNA from 1 species